CUUCCUCCCUACUCCCUCUAGACUUUUACGUGUAAGUGCAAAACCUUAAAGGUCAAUAUUUCUUGACAAAUGUCACAAGCAACUCACCCAUUUGAGAUUACUCAUCAAGUGCAAAAGCACCCGGUUUAGUUACUUCUCUCACAAAAGCUUCCAUGGUUUUCAUUUGGAGGUUUUGCAAAACCAUUAGCAUGAGCUCAUGGCUUACGUGAUUCCUCUCCUCAAAACUCCCUAUAAAUACUCAUGAAACCUGGCCAUAAAACUCACCCAACCAAGCACCAAGUCACAGAAAAAUAAGCACAAGGAAUUAGCUAUAAUUCCCGUAACUAUCCCCUGUUUUCGCGCAUCACCACCACCGUCACCACCGCGGCUCUGCCGCCGGCCAACCUGAUACAACCACCCUCAAAAUUUUCUGUUAUCCACCCCUGGAAUAUGCUCAUUCACUACUCACAAAUAUCAAGCUCGAAUUGUAGCAUUCCAUUGCCGAAACCGAACAUUAACUCACGCACAACCUCUUUUCUCUCUCUCCAUUGACGCGGACCACCACCGCCAAACCACCGGCGAAAACCUUAUCCGACCACUUGACCACCUCCUUGUUGCCGCCUUGUGCUUCCUCUGCUUUCGUGGGUCAUACGAGUCAUACCUAGUUGCUGUCUUCCUUCCUCCUUCCUUUUCUCUUGGUUCAUGUUCUGUUCAUGAAGACCAAGUUUGGUCUUUCAACUUCCUAAAUUUUUGGAACUAGUGGGCCUAUAUUCUAAGUCAAAAGGUCAAACCCAAUAACAAUCAAGAAAGCCAAGUUGGACGAAUAUUCAAUUUUGGAGCUCAGGAAGAACGGCCCAUCGAACGGGAAGUAUAAAAUUACGGUUGAGGUACGAAGAAGAUCAUGGGAUGCCUUAGAGUGAGGAUAGCACCAUCAAAUUCACGAUCGAUGUUUAGUAAAGAUAACUAUGUCAUUAGUAAUAAAGGGAUGUAUUAAUUAAGCUCUAAGUUUGAUUUUAUGAUUUGAGUUAGAUUUUAAUAUUUAUAUUUAAUCAAUGUUAGGAAUAUUUAUUAAAGUUCAUUUAGAUUUCGAUGUAAAUAUUUAAGAAUUAAUCGAAGUGAAGUAUAAUUACUGUUACUCAA